rnacentral:misc_RNA from 1 species
GAUGAAGAACGUAGCGAAAUGCGAUAAGUAAUGUGAAUUGCAGAAUUCAGUGAAUCAUCGAAUCUUUGAACGCACAUUGCGCCCGCCAGUAUUCUGGCGGGCAUGCCUGUUCGAGCGUCAUUACAACCCUCAGGCCCCCGGGCCUGGCGUUGGGGAUCGGCGGAAGCCCCCUGCGGGUACAACGCCGUCCCCCAAAUACAGUGGCGGUCCCGCCGCAGCUUCCAUUGCGUAGUAGCUAACACCUCGCAACUGGAGAGCGGCGCGGCCACGCCGUAAAACACCCAACUUCUGAAUGUUGACCUCGAAUCAGGUAGGAAUACCCGCUGAACUUAAGCAUAUCAAUAAGCGGAGGA